rnacentral:rRNA from 1 species
ACGCUGGCGGCAGGCCUAACACAUGCAAGUCGAGCGGUAGAGAGAAGCUUGCUUCUCUUGAGAGCGGCGGACGGGGGAGUAAUGCCUAGAAAUCUGCCUGGUAGUGGGGGAUAACGUCCGGAAACGGACGCUAAUACCGCAUACGUCCUACGGGAGAAAGCAGGGGACCUUCGGGCCUUGCGCUAUCAGAUGAGCCUAGGUCGGAUUAGCUAGUUGGUGGGGUAAUGGCUCACCAAGGCGACGAUCCGUAACUGGUCUGAGAGGAUGAUCAGUCACACUGGAACUGAGACACGGUCCAGACUCCUACGGGAGGCAGCAGUGGGGAAUAUUGGACAAUGGGCGAAAGCCUGAUCCAGCCAUGCCGCGUGUGUGAAGAAGGUCUUCGGAUUGUAAAGCACUUUAAGUUGGGAGGAAGGGCAGUAAAUUAAUACUUUGCUGUUUUGACGUUACCGACAGAAUAAGCACCGGCUAACUCUGUGCCAGCAGCCGCGGUAAUACAGAGGGUGCAAGCGUUAAUCGGAAUUACUGGGCGUAAAGCGCGCGUAGGUGGUUCGUUAAGUUGGAUGUGAAAUCCCCGGGCUCAACCUGGGAACUGCAUUCAAAACUGACGAGCUAGAGUAUGGUAGAGGGUGGUGGAAUUUCCUGUGUAGCGGUGAAAUGCGUAGAUAUAGGAAGGAACACCAGUGGCGAAGGCGACCACCUGGACUGAUACUGACACUGAGGUGCGAAAGCGUGGGGAGCAAAC